AUCAACAGAAGUCACUGCCAGCAGCAAGUGUGCAGAGCAAUGACCCAGCUGCUGUCCUCCAGCCAGCCGACUGCGGCACGUGUUUGCAGAUCUGAUGCGUGACAAAUCAGGAAAACGCCUGGCACACGGCUUUUGGCUCCACGUCCUUUGAACACCUGUGACCCCACCACCACCAUGUGACCUGUAGGAAAGAGUCCUGACGAAGCCCAGCCUUCCUCAAGACCAACCUUGCUCUUGAAGAUUACUCAUUGUGUCCUCCUGUGCCUAGGUCCACGUGAAAAGCAAUUCUGGUCCAAUCCAGUUAAGGCUGCUCCUGGGGAGGAACUGACACUCCAAUCCAGUCAAGCGUCAACAAAGCCUGUGCCAGGACAGAUGACCUAGGUCUUGCCAUGUUGCAGUGUUGCCCCAGUUGGCCUCAAACUCUUGGGCCCGAGAGAUCCCUCCUACCUCAGCCCGGGGAGGCUGAGUGGCUGG